GCUCCUGUGGCCUAGUGGUUAGAGCGUCCGCCUCGGAUGCAGGAGGUCAUGGGUUCAAUCCUCGGCCGAGUCA